UAUAUUAGCAUGUUGGUAAGGUAACGGCUUCCAGUAACGGCUNNCCAAGCNNGACCGUAGCUGGAGUGAGAGCUCGAACAGCCACACUGGGACUGAGACACGGNCCAGACUCCUACGGGAGGCAGCAGUGGAGAAUCUUGCGCAAUGGGCGAAAGCCUGACGCAGCCACGCCGCGUGCGGGAAGAAGGCCUUCGGGUCGUAAACCGCUUUCAGGAGGGAAGAAGCGAAAGUGACGGUACCUCCAGAAGAAGGU
rnacentral:rRNA from 1 species